rnacentral:rRNA from 1 species
GUGGGGGAUAUUGCACAAUGGGCGAAAGCCUGAUGCAGCAACGCCGCGUGAGGGAAGACGGUUUUCGGAUUGUAAACCUCUGUUCUAAGUGACGAACAAAUGACGGUAGCUUAGGAGAAAGCCCCGGCUAACUACGUGCCAGCAGCCGCGGUAAUACGUAGGGGGCAAGCGUUGUCCGGAAUUACUGGGUGUAAAGGGAGCGCAGGCGGAGAAGCAAGUCAGUGGUGAAAACGAUGGGCUUAACUCAUCGACUGCCAUUGAAACUGUUUCCCUUGAGUGAAGUAGAGGCAGGCGGAAUUCCGAGUGUAGCGGUGAAAUGCGUAGAUAUUCGGAGGAACACCAGUGGCGAAGGCGGCCUGCUGGGCUUUAACUGACGCUGAGGCUCGGAAGUGUGGGGAGCAAACAGGAUUAGAAACCCUUGUAGUCC